CUGAAUUGCACACGGAGCAAAUUAGGGAAGAGUGCAGCUUCGGAGGGGACAGCUGUGAGCGUGGCACGGUGCAGCAGUCGGCGCCACGGGCUGCUGACAGAGCAAGAUGCACACCGAAUUCAAGCACUCCUCCCCCAGUCAGAGAUCUCACUUCUUGCCAUCCCCGCCCUGGGAGGAUGUAGAGAACUGCAGAGCUGCAAGGACGAGAUGGAGACUGCCCGCAGGCUGGAGAGAAAAGAGAACUGGGUCAAAGAGAAGAACGCCAGGGGAAGAGAGGAGCCCAACGAGGAAGGCGGGAAAGAGAGGGAGGAAACCUGCCCCGAGGCAGCGCCGAGCUGGGCCGCGGCGGGGCGGCAGCGAGCAGGGGCUGGCGGCCUGAGGCCGGGACCGGGGCGCGGCGGGGAGUUCCGCGGGGCAGGGUGACACCUGCCGGGCGUGGGGGGGCGGCAAGAGCCCGGCUCAGCAGAACCAGGGCCGAGCGUGGAGCUGGAUGCGGCCGGCUCGUUGUGUGGAGGCUGAGGGGCGGCGUCGUGGCGGCUCUACGCGGGGAGCGGGCGGGCAGCGCUGAGCUCUGCUCUCUGUCACACCGACAGGGCCCGAGGGAACGGCACGGGGCUGCGUCGUGUUUUAAAAGCAGACGCAGUGCACCUCACUUGUGUCUGUGCCUGCUAAGAGCCCCGCCGUUGUCGGAUACACGCCGUGUUUACUGUUGCUCUUCUCAGGCUGUGCGGUUGACGAGUGAGAGCAGUGUGUCUGACACAGCUGAGCCGUGCAGGAGCCCACAGGUGGUCACAGUACAGAAAGGCACCUUGCCUGCUGCUGUGCUUCUCUCUGUGUGUCGUGAGGCCUUUUGUGCUCCAGGGAGAUAAAAUCCUCACCUGGGAAAUAGUGGAAGAAAGGACAUUGGGUGUUUGUCCCGUCCUUCUGAAACCACAGGAAGGCUUCGGGCAACUACUAGUGCUUCAGUAUCUUUGCCUUCAUUAAAAAGGAGGCUAAUCAGCUCAGUAGAACAGUCUGAUAUAUGUACACACAGACACACGUUUUUAUUCCAGGCCUGGCUAGGCAGCCUUAGCUUAAAGAAUCUGAGAGAAAAUUCGAUGAACAACAUUGGUUAACUGCAUGGUGAAAACACAUCCUCAAUCUCCUGCUUCCCGUCUGUCAGACUGUUGGACGACUUCAAGCCAGCUGACCAAAGUUCUUCUUUUUCCUAAGUUUGUUUCUCUUUUUCUUCGGUAUUUUUACAGUUCUUACCAGGCAACACAGGGUAAUUUUCAGUUUUGCUUUUCCAUUUGCUACUGUGUCCCAUUUUUUUUUUCUUAAAAACCAACAUGGCCAGGCCUGAAGCAUUGGUCUCUUCCUGAUGAGCUUACUCACUCAGCUGCUCAAGUGGGAUCCCAGCUGCUUGAGUAGUGAGAUGAGAUCUUGUUCCUACCUUUGAUGUUUUAGUGCAAGUAUUAUUUGUUUAUUUAUUUAAUUUCCCGAGAGUAAUAGGGAGAACCACAACGAGACUGUACAAAUAAAGGCUACAUUUUUCUCUUUUCUAUAGUACCUGGCGAAGAGAGCAGUGGUCCAGUACCAGAACAGAAUUUCCUUGGCUUGGAAGGCAGAAAGGAAGAAUGCGUCAUCAGGAGUUGGAGGCCUCCUUGAACUGUAGCUCAGAAGUGUGGGACUAGUGUCAUUCAUACCAGCUGAGGACUGAGAGCUCCCCAGGAAUUUUCCUUAAAAUAAACCAAAAACCAACGCUGUCUUCAAUGGAGAGAUACGCUGCAAAGAAAAUCGUAGCUGGCUGCAAAGGAAUCAUCUUUCCUGUUUAGACUGUAGAUUACCAGUGUCCAUUACUGAACUUUCUGGAUCAUCCCAUGUCAACACAAAAUUAUUGCUACACCCUACACAUGUCUCCAGGCCUUCACCAAAGAAAGGGAUAUUCAGUGGUUGAAAAUGAACCAGAAGAAAGAACUUCAGAAGAAAGAGCUGGGAAGGAUAGAAGAGAAAAAUGAAGUGAACUUUAAGAAUAUUACCUGGCACACCAACUGAGGAAAUGCUGAAGAACUCUGUUUUAAGUAAUCAUUCACAUGAGUGCCUGUUUACCAGUCCAGUCCAACAGUGAGCAACUUCGAACAUUUACUCCUCUUGGACCAGCACAGCCAGCACCUGCAGCACAUCAUUCGCUGGCAGAAGAACAGAGGCAGUGAAGGUGUGACAAGAUUAAGACCAAGAUGGAGAAAGACGAAACCAGAGUUUCAGAGCUCUUGAGGACACCACAUGCCCAUGACCCUGCAGAAGAAACUGGAAAAACACCACUUCAACUUGUAAUUGGAUACAAGCUGUCUGAGAUGGAAAUUGAGAGCAAAGUUCUCUGUUUAUUUACGAGCCAGCACUGAUACCUGAAGCAUAAAGCAAGGCACCUUCAGAUCAAUGCCAGCAAACUCUCGACUAUAUUGGAAAAUCCUUCCUGCCACGGGACAAGCACGACCGUGUCCUCGUGUUCUUUCAGCGUAACCCCCACCUUGAUAACACUUGUCAUCUGAGCAGCUUGUAUGACAGGUCUGUGAAGUGGAUUACUACUGUCCACUAGAGGCUGUAAUGAGACCAACAAUGUCAUUUUAUGACAAAUUGAAGUCUUAGACUGUAAUGAUCGAUAAUUGUAAGAUUACUGUUCACAUGCAGUGCAUCGUCAAUCACUGGAUUUCCCUGAACGUGGAUGUUAAAAAAAAAAAUCCAACUUGUGUUACCUCUUACUUUCCCAUUUCUUACAGAUACUAAUUACAUAAAGCGUGCAUGUUGAUGGCACGACAUCAGUGCACUGAAAGACAGUCUCUCCUAGAUGACGUGCCUCCUGCAUGUCAAACUGAUGACUGUCUUUUGGUCAAGAACGCAUUCAGCUGGGAGUCUGACCAGUUUCAGCACGUUACUGGCAGGAGGCACUGCUCGAGUGGGUUCCUGUGUCCAACUCACACCGUCGUGCUGGAGCCCUGAUCUGUACGUUCUGCACUGCCACAGUGCCUCUCUCCAUUCUUAUUGUCAGAACUGUCCUGGUCUGCAAUUGUGUCUGUUUUCUGUAGCAAACGACUUUCACCUCUGGCAUAGUUCUGCACGUCUGGGUCAAUGGACUGCGCUGCCUUGACAGACAAUGAGGGACCUUUGUCCAGGCCGUGGCAGCACAUGAGAUCUCGCUCAGGUGCUGCUUCCCACCCUCGGUGCCCCCACCAUGCCGCGUGCUGCUCGCUUCUGGGGGAACGCUUUGAGCCCUGCCAUAGGCCCUCAAAAGAGGAACUGCAGAGGCAUAAUGGCAUCUUGUGACGUAGAAGAGCAUCCUGCGUGCCAGGCAAUGUCAGCAAAGGCACUGUCCCCUUAUCUCUGUUAUGUAACCACGUCAAAACGGAGGUGAGUUUGUGAACCUGAUGCGGCUGGCUGCAGUUACGGCACUUCCCCGGGACGUGGGCAGAGGCUGCCUGCUGGGAAAAAAAUACCGCUUUGGUUUACAACUGACUUACGCUCUUCCAACUCUGAAGCAGAAACAUGGACAAAGAUAUAAAAGGCCAGAGGCUGGUUCAUGGCAAAAAGUGUGGGUCCUGCGGCAAACACCAUAGCCACAGGAUGGAGGAACACACGAGCCUCUUACACGAGCCUGCCGCAGAAGGGAAAGUUGCCCAAAGCUUGCUUCAGCAUGAAUGUGGCUUCUCUUCCACGGCGUGUGCCACACCUCUUGGCAAGGUGGAGGUUUGAGAAGGAAAGAUUCCUUUCUCCUGAGGUAACAGGAGUACAACUGGAAUAAAAAAAGGUGGCAGGCGGGAGAAUGCCGCGUCUGCAGAACAGAAUGCAGAGGAUGGGGUGGCAACUUCUGCGGGGCCUCCACUUGAUUUCCAGCUGUCUCCAGCCUCUGCCUCUCUCCCAUGGUUCCUUUCAUUAAAUCAAUGAACCUUGCAUUAGCUGGGUGAGGAUAUUUUUGCUGUCUGCCACAUGGCUGUAGAUGCACCAUCUCGUUGCUGAGUGGCAUGUUCGUCCAGACAUCCGGGCCUGCUGCUGUCCCCAGAGCGCUCUGAAACAGGCAAGCACUUUGGGUUACGUAGCGAACCUGAUCCGGAGAGGUGGAAGUUGCACUGUUAAAAUACCUUUAUGCUCCUAAAGCCAGUCUGUGUGACAGUACCAACUCUCAGUCAAGAGCUGUGCAGAUUACCAUGUUGUUAGCACAUUCUCUAGGAAAUACAGAGGAUGAGUACAGUCAUUCAUAGAAGGGACUGUCUUGCUGAUCUGCAUACUGACAGAGCCCUAUGGUCUUUUGCAUGCAGACUAAUGCUAGAUCCAAUGCUAAAACACAGCGGUACUACCUGUGGACGCACACAUGACACAUCUGCACGGAGACAUCUGCUUGGAGCUCACAGCUGUGCUGGGGGCGGAUUGGAAGAGGCUCAGCCAACAGCCUGCCCUGGGCAGCCACAGCACAGGGAGCGCGCACGGUGCUCUCGGAGCCCUUUUGGGGCUGAGAGCCAGCCUCGGGGGCUUAUGCAGCAUUUCGUGCGGUGACUUCGGGGUGGGGAGAAGCUUUCUCAGCGCCGUGCCUCCCUUCCCGAUGCCAAAGCAGAGCGAGCGGUUCCCUGUGCGGCAGUCGGGCUGCCAGCAAGCAGAGCAGACGCUGCCCUGUGGCUGCGUUCCUCCCAUUCAUUUAUUCUGGGAGAGGCGGGCAGUGGUCUGCGCGCAGCCGGGAGAGACGCGCGAGGAUUCUGCCGGAGCGUGUGCGAGGAGCGCAGCGGGAGCGAGUACCCAAACAUGCGUGGUGCAGCCCUGCCUGCCUCGUAGUGCGGUGACGGAAUGAGUCAGAGCCUCUUUGGUCUGAAUGAAGUGGAAGGUACUCUCUACAAAGCAACUCGAGCAUAUGCCGAGGAUCCGGAAAAAUAAAACUAAUUCAGAAAACGGGAGUGGGAUGCGGGCUCCUGUUCUACGACGCUUCACAGCUCGGAACGGCAAAACGCAAUAUGGCAUCUUAAAUAAAAUCACCCUCCCCUGACUCUCACGGCGCUGCCUCCGAGCCGUCCCUGGCUCCCCGGCGCGCGUUUAUUUCCUCCCAUAGCGACAGCCCGGCCUCGGCCGGCGCUCCCGCAUCCCGCACGGCCGCUCCGCAGGACGGCGCGCCGCCGGCCUCGCUCUCCUCUCC
rnacentral:lncRNA from 1 species